rnacentral:rRNA from 1 species
AAUAGAUACCCCGGUAGUCCACGCCGUAAACGAUGAGUGCUAAGUGUUGGGGGGUUUCCGCCCCUCAGUGCUGCAGCUAACGCAUUAAGCACUCCGCCUGGGGAGUACGGUCGCAAGACUGAAACUCAAAGGAAUUGACGGGGGCCCGCACAGGCGGUGGAGCAUGUGGUUUAAUUCGAAGCAACGCGAAGAACCUUACCAGGUCUUGACAUCCCGGUGACCACUAUGGAGACAUAGUUUCCCCUUCGGGGGCAACGGUGACAGGUGGUGCAUGGUUGUCGUCAGCUCGUGUCGUGAGAUGUUGGGUUAAGUCCCGCAACGAGCGCAACCCUUAUUCUUAGUUGCCAUCAUUCAGUUGGGCACUCUAAGGAGACUGCCGGUGAUAAACCGGAGGAAGGUGGGGAUGACGUCAAAUCAUCAUGCCCCUUAUGACCUGGGCUACACACGUGCUACAAUGGACGGUACAAACGGUUGCCAACCCGCGAGGGGAGCUAAUCCGAUAAAACCGUUCUCAGUUCGGAUUGUAGGCUGCAACUCGCCUACAUGAACG